rnacentral:rRNA from 1 species
GGACUACCAGGGUAUCUAAUCCCGUUCGCUCCCCUCGCUUUCGCCCCCGAGCGUCAGGUACCAGCCAGGACACUGCCUUCGCCUUUGGUGUUCUUCCGGAUCUCUACGCAUUUCACCACUCCACCCGGAGUUCCAUGUCCCUCUCUGGCCCUCCAGUCCCACAGUCUAACCGGCGCUCCCCGCGUUAAGCGCGGGGCUGUCACCGCUCACUUGCACGACCGCCUGCGGGCGCUUUACGCCCAGUAACUCCGGACAACGCUCGCCCCCUACGUAUUACCGCGGCUGCUGGCAC